CCAGCUUCAAGAUGCUCUUGCUUCCGCGACGACGUGGAGGAGUUAGGCAGCACCUGAGCCGAUGCCAUUAGAGAACCACGAACAAACGAUCUAGAACGAAAAAGAAAAACGCACAAAUUCAAAACCUCAACGCGUAAAACGCCAUCACCCUCGCAAUGGAUCCGAAUCAAGCAGCCCCAAACCCUAGCAUCAGAAGGAAUUUCCCAGAUCGCGGAACUGAGGAAAAAUAACGGUGCAAUGAAAGGAAUUCAUAAAAAUUGGGAAAUAAUUUGAAAAUUUGAGAAAAUAAAGUUUGGGAGAAACAAAGGAAUCGAAAUUGCGUGCGGUGUAUUGCGUUUCGCGGAGGGUGUCCGAUCUGAUCAGAGAGAGAGAUUUGGGUCUCUCUCUUUGUCUUGGAUUUGGGAUUUUCUUUGUAUUUUUUGCUUUUUAUUUU
rnacentral:lncRNA from 1 species